UGCCCCAGGAAUGGGCAAAGAGACCCCAUUUUGGUGGUGAUGUUCUUAGCUCAGUCAAGGGCAGAGGAGAUGGCAGUUCUUUGUCCAUCCUAGCUUGAUGCCUGGCUUGAUGGAUAAAGCUGUCUUAGGCAUAGGACUCAUAA